UCUCUGUUAGUAUAUCGGUUAGUACACGCGCCUGUCAUUUCGAUGUGCGCGCGAAAGCGGGGUUCGACUCCCCGACAGAGAG